rnacentral:rRNA from 1 species
AAGCUCGUAGUUGGACUUCUGUUGUAUAAUUUAUAUAAAAUAUUUUGAUGAAUAUUUAUAUAAUAUUAACAUAAUUCAUAUUACUAUUUUUUAGUAUAUGAAAUUUUACUUUGAGAAAAUUAGAGUGCUUAAAGCAGGCAUAUGCCUUGAAUACUCCAGCAUGGAAUAAUAUUAAAGAUUUUUAUCUUUUUUAUUGGUUCUAAGAUAAGAAUAAUGAUUAAUAGGGACAGUUGGGGGCAUUUGUAUUUAACAGUCAGAGGUGAAAUUCUUAGAUUUGUUAAAGACAAACUAAUGCGAAAGCAUUUGCCAAGGAUGUUUUCAUUAAUCAAGAACGAAAGUUAGGGGAUCGAAGACGAUCAGAUACCGUCGUAGUCUUAACCAUAAACUAUGCCAACUAGAGAUUGGAGGUUGUUCCUUACUCCUUCAGCACCUUA